rnacentral:rRNA from 1 species
GAGGCCGCGCGAACGCGUACCUCCUCUAUCACAAAUUAUGACGUUCAUUCUCCAAACAAAGGAGAUGAUAGGUCAACACACUCGCCAGGUGCAAUGCGAGUCAUUGAUCUAGGCCAC